GUCCAUUGGAUCGGAAGUUAGCCAUGCACUGUCGGGUACAUUUCUCCACUCCUCCUCCACACUCCUCUGAGAAGGGUAAGGCACUGUGCCUUACUUGCUGCCCUUGACCGUACUUGCUGCCUGCUCCUCAGCACAGCACAGAAGCAAGCAGACCCUCCUGGCUGCCUGUAGGCCAUGGACCCUUGAAAGGAAGCUCAGAGGUUAUGGAUGAAUGUGUUCCCAUGUGUCUUCAGGACAAACAAACAAGCAGCGACCCUCCCCCAAAAACAGUGUGUGGGGUUUCUAGAUAUUUUAAUAGUCUUGAGCCAAGAUGAGGUGGUGCUUUUCCCAAAGCCAGAAAACAUUUAUCCUGUAUAAAAUGCUGCAAACUUAUUAAAGAGCCUCACCCUGUGAGGUUUGGGAGUGCCUCUUUUGGGUUACUAGACAGUCUGAUGCCCUUGAGGUAGUUUGGGGAUUUUCCAUCCUUUUUGGAUAGUCAACCUAUCAGAGGGGUUGUGACCCCCAGGUUGAGAACCACUGCUCUAGCCUGAUUUCCAGAAAGAAUCCAUUAAAUAUGACAUUAAGAAAUCUUAUUGUAGAUUAGCCUUUCUCCAUAAGAAAGGAAAAAGGACCUCCUAUAAUCUUAAACACACAGCUAUUUCACUCUCUUGAAAACAACUCUUGAGAUUGCCACUCUUGGCCCCUGGAAUGUGUCUGCCUCACUUUGCUGAAUAAACUCUGCGGUGUCUGUGCCCCGGUCUUCUCUGGGUCCAGCUGCAGCAGGCCUUGAACAAGUGCUGUCAAGGACAAUACCAAAUGAGUGAAUCUGUUUAAAUAGUUUUUGGACCUGUUGAGGGAAAAUUAAUUCUCCAAGAUAGCAGGCAUUGUGUGGGAGAGGUGGGGCAAAAUUGUUCAUCCCCUUCAUAGUGUUUAUGUGUGUCCCUGACACUUUGGCUGAUCAGCUCUCAGGGAAGUUGCAGUAGAUGAACCACGUGUAGGAGUCAAGGAGAGUUGGACAUACCAAGAAGGAGAUGGUUGGGUUUUUUUUACAUUUUUAAGAUUUGUUUUCUUUACUACCUUUAAGACAUAAUAUUUAUAUGUGGAAGAUAAUGUAUUGGGUGACUGAAAACAAUAAAAGGGCUUGCCCUUGACAUUUCCAGGAUGGAUGAGAAUACAAGACUGGGACAGACAGAGAAUGAUUCAGACAAAUUGUUUCUCGAAAUUAGGCAGCCUGAGCCCUUUAUGACUCCAUAAUCGUUGGAAGCUGAGUUACUCAUAUCAUUCCCGAAAAUGAUAUGUUCAUGUUUCCUGCCUUCAUCAGAAGCACAACAGAUUGCUGAGAAGGGCAGAUGCAGAAAUCUAAUGAACCAUCUUUCAAUUUAAAGUGUGCCCAGGAGUAUUCAUUAAAUAAAUGGCUGUGGUAGAGGUGUGCUCUCAGGGCUCCCACUCCAGCCCAGGGCCUUUAGAUUUCUUAUUUAAUUAAGGAGUGUGUGUGUAUUACCCCACCACCCCCGACACACACACACACACACACACACACACACACACCCUACAUAGGAAAAAACCUUCAGAAUUUAACUCAUUUUUAAUUUAUCUUGCCAUUUUCCUACGUAGUAAACACUGAAUUAUGUUUCGUUAGUGUUAUCUUUGAUGUUUAUAGAAGUCUUAUGAAUACCCCUUAGCAGGUACUGUCUUAUCAAGCACAUGGUAGGUCUUCAUUUUCUGGACAGACAGAUGGCUGCAUAAAUAGGAUACCAUUGCAUUGAACAUAACAAUCCUUAGAGUAGUAGUGUUCCUGGAGUAGUACACACCCUGGAGAUCAGAUAGAUACCUAGGCCGCCCUUGAUAACCCAGCAGUGUCAUGAGCUGUGCACAUGUCACUGGACCCUUGCUGAAAAGGCUCAGGUGGUUGUGCCAGCCAUGUUCUGUCUCAAGUCACAUGGUCUCAGACUCUUAUGUUCGUGCUUUGUUUUAUUAGCAGAUUAUUCUGAGUCUGGGCUUUCUCUCCUAGACUGUCCUAAGAGUCCCUUUUCAAAGGAAACCUGUAUACUGAUUUUCUUUACCCACAUUCAGAUCUGCCCUGCUGAAGACUUCAAGUUGCUAAGCUAACCUUCUUCCCUAUCUUAAUCAAUUUGCUGUACUUUCUAAUCUCAUGUGUAAAGAUUGAUGUAGAAAUGCAGAGCCCGAGGCUGGGGAUUAGGGUUAUGGAAAAGCAGAAACUCUGGUAGUAGAGAAGACCUUCUGUGAGUCAUGGGUGCUGGGAGAACUGUUGGAGUUAUUAGUUACAUGAAUGUACGCUUUCUUUUUUAAGCAAAAUCAUUCUAGGCUGAUUUUCAUGGGAACAUUGCUUCCUAUCUUGAGUGUCUCCUUUCAGUCAGGGAACAUAAAUGGUAGCCAUUUGCCUAUGCAACUUAUCUAAAGGCAGCUUGUUACAGCCCCGAGGCAGAUAGCGUGGCCUCCUGUCACGGGUGAGGAAGUGUGAGCUUUUGCUUAAGGAACGUUCAUACUCACAUUGGGCCAUGCUUUAUGUUUCUGGUUCCACUGCCUGCUUGCACGCACAGUGCGCUGCCAUGCCAGGUGGAGAUAGUGUUUCCAAGUAAUGGCUGGCCUUGAUGGCCUUUGUUUCACUAGUGGAGGAAGUUGAGCUUUUGCUUUUGCUAAAACUUAAUGCUUUAUACAGUCCAUGAUUGUUUUAUGAAGUUCAAUCAGAAAGUACAAGUUUAUUGAAAACUUUUAGCCACUCUUGUUGGUUUCGAAGAUACCAGACUUUCCUAUAAAUAAACAUAAAAUGUUGCCUACUCCAUUUUGUGAGAAUCAGACAACUGUAGUGAAGAUUGAACAGCACAAGUCAUGCCAGUUUCCCAAGUGGAAAAUUUAGAGGGUAGCAUGAGCUGUCUUCUGCUUCUCCGUCUAUCUUGUUUCUUAAACUUCGUGCUGGGGGGACUUGGGUCCUUUAGUCUGGGUCAUUGAGACUCGCUCCUACCUAGGGCACUUGGUAGGGCUUGUGGGGUUGCCUGAGGCCCUGUGUUAUGGGGCAGCUGGCUGUGGAUGUGACAACUGACAAGAGAUGGCUGCCGACUCAUGGCUGUGGUAAGGGAGCAGCAAGUGCAGCUGGUCUAGGUCAGGGGCUUGUGAGGGCUGUUUCAUCUGCUGUGUACUGUCCCAGUGUACAGACUUCACCUGGGCCUCUUACUCGGCACACUCUGUGUGGUCCCACCCAGCCAAGGCCCUCACUGCUGCAGCCGUCAGAGCUCCCCACUUCCCAGCUGGAGGAGGAGACGAUGGCUCACACCCCACUCAUGGUGCUAUGCAGCAGAAUCUUCCUCGAAUCUGAAGAUUCCAAGUGAAGUAGUCGAAGUCUGCUUCCAGGGAAAGGAACGUUAGGAAGGCAGCAUACAAAUAUGGCUCAGUGAUUGCGGGGCUAAGCAGAAAUGUAUAAAAAUCCAGCCUGACCUCCAUGAAUCUAUAGAAAAGCAAGGUAUCACCCCCACCUACCCUCUAGUCAGUAACCUGUACUGCUACCCUUUCGUGAGACAGGCUCUGUAUUCAGCCUCCAGACUUGUCGCCUCAUGUGGACAGCUUCAUUUUCUCCAUGGAAAGUAAUAAUCCUUUGAUUCUGACAUCAUAGAAAAGGUUAAGAUGUCUCCCAAGGACAAAAAAAAAAAAAAAAACCAAAAACAAAAAAAAAAAAAAACCAAAGUAUCAGUUGGUGGUUAAAUGAACUGUUUUUAAAGCUUUGCUUUGGUCUCAUGUAAGUUAGAAAGAGCCUGGUUUGCUUUGUGGAUGAAAUGCCCAUAAAGCAGUCCCCAUGCCAGAUUUCUGUAUGUCCUACAUGCAGUUUUCUUUAAAGCUAACAGUCUGCUCUCAUAUCUGAAACCAUAUUGACUGCUUUUAGCCUCUCCAUGCUCUCAUGGUGCAAAAUCGUCAUCUCUUAACUACUGCUUAAAAAUCACCCACGUGGUCAUCAUGGUAGCAUCACAUUUCAGCUCCACGCAGUUCAUAUUAUAAAUUGCAUCUGGGAUAGCCAGCCUAAGGUGCUUUGUAAUUAAUCCAUGCUCUGGGGGAAAAAUUACCAAAGUUUUCUUCUUAUAAAGUAGACCAGAAACUCUAUUGCAAAAACACAGCUUCACUCUUCUCAGAAGGAAGUAACAAGGGGACCUCUGAGAGAGGAUGUUGUGGGCUCCAGGGCAUUUGACCCCUUGUGUUUGCCUGUUGAUGUGAAAGUUCAAGGAGUGGGGAAGUCCACUCAUUGACAGUUCAGGGACCCUGAGAGAGAAGCCUAUGUCUCCAUCCCAUUCUCACACCUGAGUUCCUGUUGUAGAGUAAUAUAUCAGGACAUACAAAAGGUUUUAUGUCAGGCUUCAAACAAGCAAAGCUUGGGGGCAUGUGCAUCCACACUGCUCUUCCCUGCCUUUACGCUCCAUGGCACCUUUACGCUGCCACGCAGAGCCCUACUGAGUGGCUGGUUCUCUUGGGUUGGAUGAGUUGACGUGUCUGUCGCCAGAACUGAUCUCUUGGCAGCAUACUAUGGGCUCCAUUCUUACAGCUGUAUGUCCUGCUGCCAUUCUGCUGCCUACGUUUAUUACCUUAAUUAUUUAUAUUUGAUUAUUCAAGGGAAAUGUGUUCCCAACUGAUGUUCAGCAAAUCUCUCCCAGAAUAAAUAUAUCUCCAAGAACCAAAGUAAGUUUUCCAUUAGUUUAAAGGCACUGUACAGAGAGCCUGUGCUUUUAGGAUGUGAGUGCUUCUGGGCUUUGCUGGGGAGCACAGGUGAGGACACUGUUGAGAGUGUUGCUCAGACUCUCAAAGCUCUCACACCCUGUGUGAGCAACCUAGGUAAGGAUUGCGAGGACUGGGAGAGAGGCUGUGCCUUGCAAGUCUGCAGAGUACACUCAGGGCCCAUGCUGCUGACUUGGACCCUUACGCAUUCGACUGACCAGUGGCUCAGGGUUCUCUGGCUUUCUUCUGUCUUCAAGGUGAGUCCUGUUCCCUAGGCCAGCCUCACACUGCCAGGUCUCUUGUUUUCCCACUCAGAGGCUUUUACCAAAGAUUGUCACCCAGACACAAGCACGCUUGAAUCGUAGAGCUGAGGCACCUACUGGGAAGGACUGGACCUUGCAGCCCCCGUUUUGCCGUACAGUUUCUACUUUCUGGCCCAAGAGCAUUGCUAGUGCAGCCUAUGUGCUUCCUCUCCACCCUGGGCACCUCGCAUUUUGUCUUAUUCUCAAGGCUGGGAUUUACAGAGUUGUUGGGUUUGAGUUUUGUUUUUCUCACUUUGUGAGGAUGACCAGAGCCGCUGGUAUAAUGAAGGUACAGCACAGCCUCUGUGAGUGUUCGGAUGAUGGUCUCCUUGAACAUCUGCACAGAUGCUCAGAGCCGUGCGCCUCGCACCCUCCUCACCAGGGGCCCACAAAGUGCCACAUAGUGCAUUGUUGCAGUAAAUGUUUUAAAAAUGGUGACCUUUUAUCUCGUGCUAGCACCAGCACUCGUAGGGCCACAUGGCACUGUGGGGCAUCUUUAUCAGUGUUCCACACUGCCCCCAAGUACUCUCAGACCAGGCAUUUCGUAGGCCUUCCAGCGUGGCACCUUGCUUCCCACCUGUACUUUAUCUCUGGUUAGCGUCUCUCCAGGCAGCUCUCUGCUAGCCACAAACUCUGGUUCCAGCCACCCAGUAAAAUCAGGCUCUAGAAGUCCAGCAUGGGGCUGGCCUGUCGAAGCUCCCUGCCACAGACUCUGCUCACACUCCCAGCAA